rnacentral:rRNA from 1 species
GACGAACGCUGGCGGCGUGCUUAACACAUGCAAGUCGAACGGAAAGGCCCUGCUUUUGUGGGGUGCUCGAGUGGCGAACGGGUGAGUAACACGUGAGUAACCUGCCCUUGACUUUGGGAUAACUUCAGGAAACUGGGGCUAAUACCGGAUAGGAGCUCCUGCUGCAUGGUGGGGGUUGGAAAGUUUCGGCGGUUGGGGAUGGACUCGCGGCUUAUCAGCUUGUUUGUGGGGUAGUGGCUUACCAAGGCUUUGACGGGUAGCCGGCCUGAGAGGGUGAACGGCCACAUGGGGACUGAGAUACGGCGCAGACUGCUACGGGAGGCAGCGGUGGGGAGUAUGACACAGUGGGCGGGAGCCUGAUGCGGCGACCCCGCGUGCGGGAUGACGGCUUUCGGGUUAUGAACCAAUUUCGACUGUGACAAGGCGUGAGUGACGGUAAUGGGUAAAAAAGCACCGGCUAACUACGUG